rnacentral:siRNA from 1 species
UGUCGCCGAGCAGGCUCCAGCUGG